GAUGCAGGCAUGCUCCAUGUAUGCACGAAGGCAUGCGGUUGUCAAGUAGGUCAUCGGGUAGGAUGUAUUGAGGUUAACCAUCUCAGCGAUUGAAGUUACCCGCACUAGAAGCACAGGCUAACUCUGUGUCAGCAGCCGCAGUCAUAGGGAGGUGCAAGCGUUAUCGUUAUUUAGUGUGCGUAGAGCUCACGCGUCCGGUCUGUCAUGUCGGAUGUGAAAUCCCCAUGCUCACACCUGGGAAGUGCAUUCGAACACUGGCAGGGCAGAGUCUUGUAGAUGGGGGUAGAAUUCCAGGUGUAGCGGUGAAAUGUGUAGAGCAUCUGAUAGAAUACCGGUGGCGAAGGCGGCCCCCUGGACAAAGAGCAACGCUCAGGUGUGAUAGACGAGAGAGCAAACAGGAUUAGAUACCAUGGUACUUCAUAGUGUAAACGAUGUCGAAUUGGAGGUUGUGCCCGUGAGGUGUGGCUUCGGGAGUUAACGAAAUAAGUAGACCGCCUGCGGAGUGAGUCCGCAAGGUUAAAAGUCAAUCGAAUUGACGGGGGCCGGCCCGAGCGGUGGAGCAUGUGGUUUAUUUAGUUGCAACGUGAAGAACCUACCUUACUAUUGACAUCCAGAGAACUUACCAGAGAUGAAUUGGUCCCUUCGUGAACUAUUAUACAGGUGGUGCAUGGGUGUUGUCAACUUGUGUUGUGAAAUGUUGGGUUAAGUCCCGCAACGAGCGCCACCCCUAUCCUUUGUUGCCAGCGGUUAGGCCGGGAACUCAAAGGAGACUGCCAGUGAUAAAAUGGAGGAAGGUGGGGAUGACGUCAAGUCAUCAUGGCCCUUACGCGUAGGGCUACACACGUAAUACAAUGGCGCAUACAAAGGGAAGCGACCUCGCGAGAGCAAGCGGACCUCGUAAACUGGGUUGUAGUCCGGAUGGGAUUUUCCAAUUGGAUUCCAUGAAGUGGGAAUCGCUUGAAUCGCUUCAGCUGUGCGCAAAAAAAAAUUGGCUAUAUGC
rnacentral:rRNA from 1 species